AGGCAUUUUAUAAGCACAAAGUGGAAAAGCAUCAUUCAUAUUCAUUUGCUGCUGCGGCAUUUCUCCCUGGAUUCUUCCUCUUGUCUGUCAACAUUGGGCAAAAGGACUGGCCUCAUCUACAUUACAGAUAUCCUUGUGAUGGUCUGGAGGGACCUGUGGGAGAGGCAGCCAUCCGGAGGGCUCUCUGAGGGGUCAUUUAGAAUGCAACUGUUCUGGGCAGAGGAUGGUCUGCACUGGCCUCCAUCGCACAGGAAGGCUUCCAGAGUGGAGAAAUGUCCACUAAUGUGGCUUCUGUGAGGUCAUGUGCUGGGUGCUGGGAACACAAAGGAGAGAUGAGAAGAAAUUAGAGGGGCUAGAAGAACCAGCAGACCUGUUAAAAAUCAUGAAUACAAAGAAAAGUCAUUUGCUUCUGUGCUUCAAUUCCAUAAUAAAAUGAGUAUAAUGUC
rnacentral:lncRNA from 1 species